GCUCAGAUUGAACGCUGGCGGCAGGCCUAACACAUGCAAGUCGAGCGGAUGAAGGGAGCUUGCUCCCUGAUUCAGCGGCGGACGGGUGAGUAAUGCCUAGGAAUCUGCCUGGUAGUGGGGGACAACGUUUCGAAAGGAACGCUAAUACCGCAUACGUCCUACGGGAGAAAGCAGGGGACCUUCGGGCCUUGCGCUAUCAGAUGAGCCUAGGUCGGAUUAGCUAGUUGGUGAGGUAAUGGCUCACCAAGGCGACGAUCCGUAACUGGUCUGAGAGGAUGAUCAGUCACACUGGAACUGAGACACGGUCCAGACUCCUACGGGAGGCAGCAGUGGGGAAUAUUGGACAAUGGGCGAAAGCCUGAUCCAGCCAUGCCGCGUGUGUGAAGAAGGUCUUCGGAUUGUAAAGCACUUUAAGUUGGGAGGAAGGGUUGCUGAUUAAUACUCUGCAAUUUUGACGUUACCGACAGAAUAAGCACCGGCUAACUCUGUGCCAGCAGCCGCGGUAAUACAGAGGGUGCAAGCGUUAAUCGGAAUUACUGGGCGUAAAGCGCGCGUAGGUGGUUUGUUAAGUUGGAUGUGAAAGCCCCGGGCUCAACCUGGGAACUGCAUCCAAAACUGGCAAGCUAGAGUAGGGCAGAGGGUGGUGGAAUUUCCUGUGUAGCGGUGAAAUGCGUAGAUAUAGGAAGGAACACCAGUGGCGAAGGCGACCACCUGGGCUCAUACUGACACU
rnacentral:rRNA from 1 species